rnacentral:rRNA from 1 species
GAUGAACGCUGGCGGCGUGCUUAACACAUGCAAGUCGAACGGUGAAGCCCAGCUUGCUGGGUGGAUCAGUGGCGAACGGGUGAGUAACACGUGAGCAACCUGCCCUGGACUCUGGGAUAAGCGCUGGAAACGGCGUCUAAUACUGGAUAUGAGACGUGGCCGCAUGGUCAACGUUUGGAAAGAUUUUUCGGUCUGGGAUGGGCUCGCGGCCUAUCAGCUUGUUGGUGAGGUAAUGGCUCACCAAGGCGUCGACGGGUAGCCGGCCUGAGAGGGUGACCGGCCACACUGGGACUGAGACACGGCCCAGACUCCUACGGGAGGCAGCAGUGGGGAAUAUUGCACAAUGGGCGGAAGCCUGAUGCAGCAACGCCGCGUGAGGGAUGACGGCCUUCGGGUUGUAAACCUCUUUUAGCAAGGAAGAAGCUUUUGUGACGGUACUUGCAGAAAAAGCGCCGGCUAACUACGUGCCAGCAGCCGCCGUAA